rnacentral:rRNA from 1 species
UACGUAGGUGGCAAGCGUUAUCCGGAUUUACUGGGUGUAAAGGGUGAGUAGGCGGCAUGGUAAGCCAGAUGUGAAAGCCUUGGGCUUAACCCGAGGAUUGCAUUUGGAACUAUCAAGCUAGAGUACAGGAGAGGAAAGCGGAAUUCCUAGUGUAGCGGUGAAAUGCUUAGAUAUCGCGCAGAACCCCGAUUGCGAAGGCAGCGUACCGGCUCCACACUGACGCUGAGGCACGAAAGCGUGGGGAUCGAACAGG